UGGCUGUGGCUUCUGGAUCGACAUCGACAUCGGCAGUGGAUGCACCCCUGGAGCCAGCCUUCCACUUGUCUGUCGCGCCGAUGUAGACCUGUGGUGAUCUCUCUUGGCAACGGAUGAUGGGCGCUGCUGGUGUAGCCAGAGAGAACACCGUCGUCUUCACGUCCUGCCGCUUGGCAUCAACUAUGGCUAUGAGACUAAAAUUUGAAGUUGAAUGAAUUGGAACCAAUGGAUGAAUUAAAGGAAGAGGUAGCAGUAUGCAUGCUGCACUUCAAAGUCAUACUUCACCUCCACCCAUGCCGCCGUGAUACGGUGGUGAGUCAACCAUGACGCAACCGUGGCAGCAGUGGCCUUCUUCUACACCUCAGUGUUUUAGG